AUUGAACGCUGGCGGCAGGCCUAACACAUGCAAGUCGAGCGGAGCGGCGGACGGGUGAGUAAUGCCUAGGAAUCUGCCUGGGCGUGGGGGAUAAGGUCAGGUAACGGGCGCUAAUACCACAUACUAUUGGAUGAGCCUAGGUCGGAUUAGCUAGUUGGUGGGGUAAAGGCCCACCAAGGCGACGAUCCGUAACUGGUCUGAGAGGAUGAUCAGUCACACGGGAACGGAGACACGGUCCAGACUCCUACGGGAGGCAGCAGUGGGGAAUAUUGGACAAUGGGCGAAAGCCUGAUCCAGCCAUGCCGCGUGUGUGAAGAAGGUCUUCGGAUUGUAAAGCACUUUAAGUUGGGAGGCGUUACCAACAGAAUAAGCACCGGCUAACUUCGUGCCAGCAGCCGCGGUAAUAC
rnacentral:rRNA from 1 species